rnacentral:rRNA from 1 species
UACAGAGGGGGCAAGCGUUGUUCGGAAUUACUGGGCGUAAAGGGUUCGUAGGUGGCCUACUAAGUCAUACGUGAAAUCCCUCAGCUUAACUGGGGAACUGCGUCUGAGACUGGAAGGCUUGAGUGCAGGAGAGGAACGCGGAAUUCCAGGUGUAGCGGUGAAAUGCGUAGAUAUCAGGAGGAACACCGGUGGCGAAGGCGGGUCUCUGGGCAGUAACUGACGCUGAGGAGCGAAAGCGUGGGGAGCGAACAGG